UACGAAGGGGGCUAGCGUUGCUCGGAAUCACUGGGCGUAAAGGGUGCGUAGGCGGGUUUUUAAGUCAGAGGUGAAAUCCUGGAGCUCAACUCCAGAACUGCCUUUGAUACUGAAAAUCUUGAGUAUGGGAGAGGUGAGUGGAACUGCGAGUGUAGAGGUGAAAUUCGUAGAUAUUCGCAAGAACACCGAGGCGGAGGAGGCGACUCCUCGUGCCCGCU
rnacentral:rRNA from 1 species